GGUGAGGUCAUGCAUGAGGUAAGCGUACUUGGUUUCUAAGUCAACUUGGCCAACUUGCUGAGUGCACAUCGCCAAGCUCCUUUGUGGCACUGCUAAGCUGCCUGCUUGAGCAGCUUGACCGUGCUUGAUACGGAUGUGGCUUGGUACUUGGUUCUACACUCGGUGCUCCAAGUGCCAUGCUAAGCUGCUCAAUGAGCACUUAGUGUGUGCCAUGCG
rnacentral:lncRNA from 1 species